AUGCUUAUAUUUCAAUUUGUUAUUGUUAGCGUGUCUAUUUCCAGUCCUGUGUUUUUUUGAAAUUGAUUGGUAUUCAUUUUGAUAACAACGUUUCAUCUCAAAUACAUCGUGUUGAAACAGUAUAUAAUACAGAAUAUAACUAAAAAAUAGUUGCAAUAGCAAUAUAAAUGGAAAACAUAAAGAAUUUCGUGAACGGUAUAACGGGAGCACAAACGACUACCAUGCAAAUUCCAAGAGUGGAUACAAACCCAACGACGAGCAGAUAUUUUGGUAAAGUGGAAACAACACGAACUCGAACAGAAAGUGAAAGCAGCAAUGCAUCAAUGUCAUCAAAUGGUUCCCAAAAGGAUAAAUUUUCAGAUUUUUGGGUCAUUUGGCAUUCCUGAGACUUCCCCAAGCCAUUCCAGAUUAUCGUAAAUUUAAGAUUAUAGGAGUCCCGAAGUGAAUAUGCGUUUAUAUCGAAAAGAACGUUUGAAUCAUUGUUGAUGAACAGUACUCGAAAUUCUACUGAAUUGCAAAUAUGAAAAAUAUGUUCGAAGGUCAUGAAAUGCCAAUUUGGAUUGAUGUUUUGUGGUUUACAGUCGUAUUAGUUAUGAGUCCGGUUAUGUUUUUAUUCACUAUAAUAAUAAGUGAAUUGCCAGUUUUUUUACUUCGUAUGAUCCGGUCAGAAAUGAAUUCGAUUUAAAUU